GUGAGCAACCUGCCCUGGACUCUGGGAUAAGCGCUGGAAACGGCGUCUAAUACUGGAUAUGAGACGUGAUCGCAUGGUCGUGUUUGGAAAGAUUUUUCGGUCUGGGAUGGGCUCGCGGCCUAUCAGCUUGUUGGUGAGGUAAUGGCUCACCAAGGCGUCGACGGGUAGCCGGCCUGAGAGGGUGACCGGCCACACUGGGACUGAGACACGGCCCAGACUCCUACGGGAGGCAGCAGUGGGGAAUAUUGCACAAUGGGCGGAAGCCUGAUGCAGCAACGCCGCGUGAGGGAUGACGGCCUUCGGGUUGUAAACCUCUUUUAGCAGGGAAGAAGCGAAAGUGACGGUACCUGCAGAAAAAGCGCCGGCUAACUACGUGCCAGCAGCCGCGGUAAUACGUAGGGCGCAAGCGUUAUCCGGAAUUAUUGGGCGUAAAGAGCUCGUAGGCGGUUUGUCGCGUCUGCUGUGAAAUCCCGAGGCUCAACCUCGGGCCUGCAGUGGGUACGGGCAGACUAGAGUGCGGUAGGGGAGAUUGGAAUUCCUGGUGUAGCGGUGGAAUGCGCAGAUAUCAGGAGGAACACCGAUGGCGAAGGCAGAUCUCUGGGCCGUAACUGACGCUGAGGAGCGAAAGGGUGGGGAGCAAACAGGCUUAGAUACCCUGGUAGUCCACCCCGUAAACGUUGGGAACUAGUUGUGGGGACCAUUCCACGGUUUCCGUGACGCAGCUAACGCAUUAAGUUCCCCGCCUGGGGAGUACGGCCGCAAGGCUAAAACUCAAAGGAAUUGACGGGGACCCGCACAAGCGGCGGAGCAUGCGGAUUAAUUCGAUGCAACGCGAAGAACCUUACCAAGGCUUGACAUAUACGAGAACGGGCCAGAAAUGGUCAACUCUUUGGACACUCGUAAACAGGUGGUGCAUGGUUGUCGUCAGCUCGUGUCGUGAGAUGUUGGGUUAAGUCCCGCAACGAGCGCAACCCUCGUUCUAUGUUGCCAGCACGUAAUGGUGGGAACUCAUGGGAUACUGCCGGGGUCAACUCGGAGGAAGGUGGGGAUGACGUCAAAUCAUCAUGCCCCUUAUGUCUUGGGCUUCACGCAUGCUACAAUGGCCGGUACAAAGGGCUGCAAUACCGUGAGGUGGAGCGAAUCCCAAAAAGCCGGUCCCAGUUCGGAUUGAGGUCUGCAACUCGACCUCAUGAAGUCGGAGUCGCUAGUAAUCGCAGAUCAGCAACGCUGCGGUGAAUACGUUCCCGGGUCUUGUACACACCGCCCGUCAAGUCAUGAAAGUCGGUAACACCUGAAGCCGGUGGCCCAACC
rnacentral:rRNA from 1 species